ACCAGCCAAUAAGGAGAAAGAGGAUGUUGUUGGUAAGACUGUCAGUUAGCUUGUGUGGGCGUGAGCAUUAGCUACUCUAACCCCACACAUCCUGUCUUCUCAGUCUGAGAGGCAUCAGCAGAGGAACCUUCAUGCAGCGUCUCCCUGAGCACAGGACUGACUGUCUCUCUCCUUCACAGGACGUGUCCUCUCUGAGGAGCUGCCCUCUGGGUAUGAAUAUGUGGAGGACAGUGAGGGAGACCCUUUCUCAGGUGAGAGAGCCUUAACCACACUGCCCCCUGGGGAUGCCCCCCUGUACCCAGCCAGACUGACUACGAUGAUGUGAGGGAGGAGGACCUAACUGUCCUGCCUGAGGAAGCUCCUAGCCAAAGGUUUAAAUAAAAGGGGCAAAUCAGCUUCAUAUUUCAUACGGACACCAUCACUAGUUCAUUUCUUCUGAAUUCAUCCCUUUGUGUUUUUCAGAUGGACAAUGUCCUUUAUUAAUGACCAUAUCUUUGUAUUGUUAUUCAUGAAAAACAAAUAAACACACGUUCAAUUAAA